AUGUAUCCAUUUCCACCUCCACAUACCUCAGGUUUCCAUGCAGCACAUGGAGUGUAUGGAGGAGGUUCAUAUGGUCAUUCAUCUUCUGCAGCCGCCGGCUUCACCGGGAUUGAUCCACAUGCUAGGAUCAACCAAGAUGCCGGAUAUUUUCAUUAUUCGCCUCAGCCUCCUGCAUCAAUACAUAGGGCAGAAGAAGUAGAUCAGCAAGAGUCAAGUGGAAGUAGUCCCGGUGAAGCAGAAGAACCUAUUGCUAAGAGGAGAAAUUGGACAGAGGAAGAAAAUAAGCGGCUUGUCAAUGCUUGGUUGGAAAAUUCUCUCGAUCCAGUAGAUGGUAACUCCAAGAAAUCAGACCAGUAUUGGAAAGCAGUUGAGAAAGACUACAACAGCGUCACUCCGAAAGAGAGGCAAAGAUCUGCCAAGAUGUUGAAAGACCAUUGGAGUAAGCAAAACAAAUUUGUGACUCAGUUUGCUGGGUGUCAUUCCGUGCAACGCAGUGUGUAUCCUAGUGGGUAUGAUGACAAUAUGUUUAUGGAUAUGGUAAGAGCAGAUUACAAGGAGAAAUACAAAAAAAGAUUCACGCUAGAAUAUUGGUGGGAUAUGGUGAAAGAAAUGCCAAAGUGGAAAAAUACUUACUUACUAGAGAAGGAUGAAGCGAGAAAGAGAGGCAAGACCUCAGAAACAGGGGCUUACAUUUCUUCUUCUAGUAAAGGACAGAAGGGCGCAAAACGCAAAGGAAAGGCACCAGCAAAGGCCGACUCUUCUUCAAGCAACCUGCCAGAUCCAACUAUGCAACUAUAUCAUGAUGCCAUAGCAAGAAAAUCAGAAGCAAGAAAGGAGAAGGCAUCUGCAAUGAAAGAUUACACUGCUGCCACACUUGAGAAGGCAAGAACCAAAAAAUUGAGCAAGUAUAUGAAGUUACUGGAGAUAGACACAUCCGGAUAUGAUGCAGCAAAGCUACAGCGAUAUAACCAGCUUCUGAAUCUUCUAGGCAUGGAGCUAUCUAUUUAA
rnacentral:rRNA from 1 species